GGCUGAAAUUCGCCUUCAUGAAGCCGGAAUUGCUAGUAAUGGCAGGUCAGCAUACUGCCGUGAAUACGUUCCCGGGCCUUGUACACACCGCCCGUCACACCAUGAGAGUUGGGAAUACCCGAAGCCUGUGAGCCGACCGAAAGGGGCAGCAGUCGAAGGUAGAAUCAAUGAUUGGGGUGAAGUCGUAACAAGGUACC
rnacentral:rRNA from 1 species